rnacentral:rRNA from 1 species
UACGUAGGGGAGCAAGCGUUGUCCGGAAUCAUUGGGCGUAAAGCGCGCGUAGGUGGCCCCAUAAGUCCGCUGUGAAAGUCAAAGGCUCAACCUUUGAAAGCCGGUGGAUACUGUGGGACUAGAGUACGGAAGAGGCGAGUGGAAUUCCUGGUGUAGCGGUGGAAUGCGCAGAUAUCAGGAGGAACACCAAUAGCGAAGGCAGCUCGCUGGGACGUUACUGACACUGAGGCGCGAAAGCGUGGGGAGCGAACAGG